GCUACUAUUGAGAUUAGUAAAAAAAAUUAGCGGGCAUUUUUUUUGGUUUUUCCCGCACAACAUUGGAAAUCUUUUCAGCUUGCCCCAAAACUCUUCUGCGUAACCUUCUCUCCCCAAACCUUCUCUCACCAAACUUCUGCCGAACCUUCUCUCGCCAAAUUUUCGCCGAACCUUCUCUUACGCCGUCAACCCUCUCUCACGCCGUCAAAUCUCUCUCACGCCGUCAAACACAGCCACAUACUCUUCUCUAAUCGUAGGCUCAGAGACCGUACCGGAAAGAGGAAACCACCUGAGACCGUACCGGAGUUGAAGUAUUCGCCGGAAUCUUCGAAGAUUUAUUUGAAGUUGUUGAUCGAAGAGCGAAGCUGGUUGCCAGUGACAUAGCGGAAGAAUAAUUUGAUUCCAAGUCUCCAGGAAAACAAGAAGCGGUUAUUUUGCCAACUAAAUGAUUGUACUUGUGGGCUGAUGCUUUUGGUUCGUGAAGAAUUGGAGAAUUACUUGGUGCUGUUUUGUUGUCGUUUCUUGUUUUUUAGGUGUUUUAUUUAGAGAAUAUGACUUGUUAUUUUGGGAUUUGGAUUAAAGUACUCUUAGAUGGAAUGCAUGUAUCUAUAAAUUUGGCUAUGCAAAUGCCCUCUUAUUUUUAAGUACACUAAAUACCCUCUAUAUAUGUUAUGAUAUAUUUAUAAAUAAGAGGAUUUGGUUUAAAAUGUUAUUUGAUAUUUGAGUAACUUAAAAGCGUCAUUUGGUAUUGAAUUGAAUGUGGUUUUUUUAUAUUUGCACACUAAUAGAAUGAUUUUAUGUACAGCAAAUAAAAAAAAGGUUUACCAUAUAUUAGCGCUUUCUUUGAGAGUGCUAUCAAAAGUGAGUUAUAUAUUAGCGCUUUCUUUGAAAGUGCUAUAAAAAAUGAGUCAUAUAUUAGCGCUUUCUUUAAAAGUGCUAUCAAACAUGGGUCAUAUAUUAGCGCUUUUAAUGAAAGCGCUAUCAAACAUGAGCCCUUUAAUAGCACUUAGUUUGAAAUUGCUGUCAAAAUCACAUAAAAACACACGCAAAAUGCAUACUUCAAUAGCG